UGGUCCAUGAUCGGAGAGACAUUGUUGAGGAUGAGGGAGACAUCGUCCAUGAUCAGAGACAUUGUCCAUGAUCGCAGAGACCUUGUCAAAGAUGAGAGAGACGUUGUCCGUGAUCAGAGACAUUGUCCCAUGCUUCGUAGAGACCUUGCGAUAGAAUCGGCGGAGACGGGGGUCACCGAUUUGACGGCACUGCCCGCGAUCAUGGGAACAUUGUCGAUGGUCACAGAGACACCGUCUAUGAUCUCAGAGACAUCGUCCACGAUCACAAAGACAUUGACCAUGAUCGCAGAGACUUUGUCCAUAAUCUCAGAGACAUUGUCCGCGAUCAAAGAGACGUAGUCCACGAUCACAGAGAGUCUUUGUACAAUGAAGUUCUUUGAGACCAGGACAGAGGCCUCCAGGUGUCACCACUUUAUCCACAACAUCGUCCACGAUCGCAGAGACUUCGUCCAUGAUCGGAGAGACAUUGUUGAGGAUGAGGGAGACAUCGUCCAUGAUCAGAGACAUUGUCCAUGAUCGCAGAGACCUUGUCAAAGAUGAGAGAGACGUUGUCCGUGAUCAGAGACAUUGUCCCAUGCUUCGUAGAGACCUUGCGAUAGAAUCGGCGGAGACGGGGGUCACCGAUUUGACGGCACUGCCCGCGAUCAUGGAAACAUUUUCGAUGAUCACAGAGACACCGUCUAUGAUCUCAGAGACAUCGUCCACGAUCACAAAGACAUUGACCAUGAUCGCAGAGACUUUGUCCAUAAUCUCAGAGACAUUGUCCGCGAUCAAAGAGACGUAGUCCACGAUCACAGAGAGUCUUUGUACAAUGAAGUUCUUUGAGACCAGGACAGAGGCCUCCAGGUGUCACCACUUUAUCCACAACAUCGUCCACGAUCGCAGAGACUUCGUCCAUGAUCGGAGAGACAUUGUUGAGGAUGAGGGAGACAUCGUCCAUGAUCAGAGACAUUGUCCAUGAUCGCAGAGACCUUGUCAAAGAUGAGAGAGACGUUGUCCGUGAUCAGAGACAUUGUCCCAUGCUUCGUAGAGACCUUGCGAUAGAAUCGGCGGAGACGGGGGUCACCGAUUUGACGGCACUGCCCGCGAUCAUGGAAACAUUUUUGAUGGUCACAGAGACACCGUCUAUGAUCUCAGAGACAUCGUCCACGAUCACAAAGACAUUGACCAUGAUCGCAGAGACUUUGUCCAUAAUCUCAGAGACAUUGUCCGCGAUCAAAGAGACGUAGUCCACGAUCACAGAAAGUCUUUGUACAAUGAAGUUCUUUGAGACCAGGACAGAGGCCUCCAGCUGAAUUCAGGGAACGGAA